UACGGGGGGGGCAAGCGUUGUUCGGAAUUACUGGGCGUAAAGGGCUCGUAGGUGGCCAACUAAGUCAGACGUGAAAUCCCUCGGCUUAACCGGGGAACUGCGUCUGAUACUGGAUGGCUUGAGUUUGGGAGAGGGAUGCGGAAUUCCAGGUGUAGCGGUGAAAUGCGUAGAUAUCUGGAGGAACACCGGUGGCGAAGGCGGCAUCCUGGACCAACACUGACACUGAGGAGCGAAAGCCAGGGGAGCAAAG
rnacentral:rRNA from 1 species